ACCAGACUCCUACGGGAGGCAGCAGUGGGGAAUAUUGCACAAUGGGGGAAACCCUGAUGCAGCGACGCCGCGUGAGUGAAGAAGUAUUUCGGUAUGUAAAGCUCUCUCAGCAGGGAAGAAAUAGCGACCUUUGGGUCGCCAGACGGUACCUGAUUAAGAAGCCCCGGCUAACUACGUGCCAGCAGCCGCGGUAAUACGUAGGGGGCAAGCGUUAUCCAGAUUUACUGGGUGUAAAGGGAGCGUAGACGGUUCUGCAAGUCUGAAGUGAAAGCCCGUGGCUUAACCGCGGAACGGCUUUGGAAACUGUGGAACUGGAGUGCUGGAGAGGUAAGCGGAAUUCCUAGUGUAGCGGUGAAAUGCGUAGAUAUUAGGAGGAACACCAGUGGCGAAGGCGGCUUACUGGACUGUAACUGACGUUGAGGCUCGAAAGCGUGGGGAGCAAACAGGAUUAGAUACCCGUGUA
rnacentral:rRNA from 1 species